UAGAUGUCAACGAUCUUUAUAAAGUUGUUUGAAGCGUCUAUGAUAAACAGAGAGCAAAUUAGAAUCCAAGGAAGUUGACAUGUCAUCACUUCAUUUUUUUGCGCCUGCACAUAAAUCUGAGAAACGUGAGUUUUGUCUUCAUUGUUUAUCUAGACAUAGGAUAGGUUGUGUGAAAAUAUUACUGAUGUUUAACGUUAAAAAUGGACCAAAAGAUUAAUGCUAAACAACAUUUGACAUGUUUGAACGAACAUAAAUAGAUUAUUUACUAGUUUUUUUUUAGCUUUUCGGCGUGAAUUACACUCCCCCCACCACGUUUUGUGGGAGCAUAAUGAACGCUAAGUACUUGGUGUUAUUUGGACAUAAAUUAUGAACUUUGUCAAAAGAAACCACAUUUGUUCCGGACCUGGGAUGCCUUCCGGACCUGGGAUGCCUGCCUUCUGAUGGAGAUAAUCAAAGUAUAUACGAGAUCUGUUACAGAACUUCCCACCAACAAUGGACCAAGCAGCGGGGUAAGGAGCUGGAGAAAGGCUAUCGGGAGUCGUGGACCUGGGAGGAGAUUUUAGCUGGGGCUGGAUCAUGGAAGAAGGCUGGAGUGGACCGGGACUAUUAUAUUGGUACACGGUUGGCAUUUAAGCCUGAGAGGCAGCCCCAAUAAUUUUUUGAGGGGGGCACACGGGUAGUUUGGCUGGGCCAGGGUUAAGCCCUAAACCAACUCCCUGUGCUUACCGGAGGCAGCAUGUUACUGGUCAGGCCCCGUGCUAUGGGAUGAUGCGCAUGGCGUCGAGGCUGAGCAUUCACAAGCCGGUGUGCGCGGUGCCAGCGCCCCGCAUUUGCCAG
rnacentral:lncRNA from 1 species